UACGGAGGGUGCAAACGUUGCUCGGAAUCAUUGGGCGUAAAGCGCACGUAGGCGGUCGGCUAUGUCGGAUGUGAAAGCCUCGGGCUUAACCCGAGAAGGGCAUCCGAAACUGGCCGGCUUGAGUACGGAAGAGGGUCUCGGAAUUCCCGGUGUAGAGGUGAAAUUCGUAGAUAUCGGGAGGAACACCAGUGGCGAAGGCGGAGACCUGGGCCGAUACUGACGCUGAGGUGCGAAAGCGUGGGGAGCAAACAGG
rnacentral:rRNA from 2 species